CCCUUAGUUUUGUGGGAUAUGUAAUCCCAAGUGUUGCCUGCUCAUUGCAAGAGAUCCUGGGAAAUGCGUCUUCAUAGAAUUCUGGGAAUUAAAGUUUCAUUAUUUGCUUGCUCACUGAUGGCUGUCCUGGGAGACUCUUCCCCUAAGAAUUAUUGGAUUCACAGGGCUUUGCCAGGGACUAGAAGGGAGUUGUCCUUCAAAGAAUAGCCUGACAGUUACAAGAAACAGCCCCCUGGGAGACAUCCUGCCUGGGAGACAUCCUGCAGCCACCUAUCUUCCUGAAACAUCCUGAGGUUAUCUCACCUUGUGAAGACAUCCAGCAACUGCUGAUAAGAGAGCUCCCCCAUUCCCAGCCCAUAAAUACCCCUGUGUGAACAAUAAAAGUUUGCAGCUUGAUCA